rnacentral:lncRNA from 1 species
UGCUAAUUCUUUCCUCUCACAAAUAUGUUCUUGGGCGAUCAAUCAAGAUGAACUUACAGAUGCCAUGAAGUCAUGAUGUUGAACAACCCCAACUCUACUUUCAGAAGUCAGAGAGGAUCUCAACAACACAGCUGGGGCUUGGACAAAAUUCUCUAGCAGCAGUCUGCAAAUUACAGUGAUUCCUUGAAGAGACAGAAAACAGAACAAAGCAACUUAACCUGGGAGGAGGAGUUCAAAUCUGUUUGGCUUGGACAAGUUUGAGAAGUGAGCCCACAUUAACCUAAUGUCCAAGUGCAAGGAACUGCACCUGGGCUGGGACAAUACCAAAUAUGAGUACAAACUGGACACUUUCCUGUGCAGCCUAUUGUAGGGAAC